AAUAUAUACGCAGUUCACUGCACGACAAACAAGCGAACACUACACUCACACUCCACUACACAUCGCAACGAGACGAGUCAGCUGGACUGCAGGAGCGUAUAUACAGUUGGCAACAAAUUUCCUAGGAGCAUAAUAAACAACGCCAUCGACGCCAUUUUAUUCAUACUGUUUCUUGAGAUCAUUGUGAAAGGAGGCAUUUUUUUGGAAUUGUAAAAUUAAUUAUUCAAUCUGAUAAUUUGAAGGAGGAAUUGAAUUAAAUAAUGAAAUUUAUAAGGAUUUUUGUGCCAAACUAUCUUUUAAUUAAAAUUGAGAUUCCCAGGAUAUUAGUGCCAAUUACAUUCAAAGUUUAGUUUCAUUCUCUCUGGAGGAUAACAUAACCUGAAACUAAAAAAAUGGUUUUUAACGCAAACAAAAAUAUUAGUUAAAUUAUUUUCAAUCAAUUUUUGAAGAAAAAAAUUUCCAAAAAAAUGGUUAUCAGAAAAAGAGAAGGUGCAAGAUGAACCAAACAAGUUGCAGAUAAUUAUUUUUGGUCUGAAUAUCUCGAGAUGCAAUUACUUUGUCAUUGCACUUAACCCAAAAAAAUAUUUUUAUUAAUAUACGGUGGAUUUCACAUAAAGAGAU